rnacentral:lncRNA from 1 species
UCGAACAUUACAAAUAUAGGCUAUGCUACUUAGGAGUUUAUCACUAUUACAAUAAAUGUUUUCAAAAAUUCUUGCAUUUCUCUCUAACCAUAUACUAUACAGCAUUUCUGUGAUAGUCAUCUUGAAGGUGAAGGCUCGGAUAGAUUUUCCUUUGAACUGCAUAAUGAUCCAUUGACAGAAUUGUAUCCAAUUUUGUCCAGUGAAAUCAUC